rnacentral:rRNA from 1 species
UACGUAGGGUGCGAGCGUUGUCCGGAAUUACUGGGCGUAAAGAGUUCGUAGGCGGUUUGUCGCGUCGUUCGUGAAAACUUGGGGCUUAACUCCAAGCGUGCGGGCGAUACGGGCAGACUUGAGUACUACAGGGGAGACUGGAAUUCCUGGUGUAGCGGUGAAAUGCGCUGAUAUCAGGAGGAACACCGGUGGCGAAGGCGGGUCUCUGGGUAGUAACUGACGCUGAGGAACGAAAGCGUGGGUAGCGAACAGG